GACGAACCGUGCGAACGUUAUUCGGAAUCACUGGGCUUAAAGCGCGUGUAGGCGGGCCGGCGCGUCGGUCGCUGAAAGCCCCCGGCUCAACCGGGGAAGCGGCGCCGAUACGGGCGGCCUGGAGGGGGGUAGGGGGACCUGGAACUUCCGGUGGAGCGGUGAAAUGCGUUGAGAUCGGAAGGAACGCCCGUGGCGAAAGCGAGGUCCUGGACGCCUGCUGACGCUGAGACGCGAAAGCCAGGGUAGCGAACGGG
rnacentral:rRNA from 1 species